GGCCAGACUCCUACGGGAGGCAGCAGUGAGGAAUAUUGGUCAAUGGGCGGGAGCCUGAACCAGCCAAGUCGCGUGAGGGAAGACGGUCCUACGGAUUGUAAACCUCUUUUGCCGGGGAGCAACGGGGUCCUUGCGAGGGCCCGAUGAGAGUACCCGGAGAAAAAGCAUCGGCUAACUCCGUGCCAGCAGCCGCGGUAAUACGGAGGAUGCGAGCGUUAUCCGGAUUUAUUGGGUUUAAAGGGUGCGUAGGCGGGCUUUUAAGUCAGCGGUAAAAAUUCGGGGCUCAACCCCGUCCGGCCGUUGAAACUGACGGUCUUGAGUGGGCGAGAAGUAUGCGGAAUGCGUGGUGUAGCGGUGAAAUGCAUAGAUAUCACGCAGAACUCCGAUUGCGAAGGCAGCAUACCGGCGCCCAACUGACGCUGAAGCACGAAAGCGUGGGAAUCGAACAGGAUUAGAUACCCUUGUAC
rnacentral:rRNA from 1 species